AAGUCGUAACAAGGUCUCCGUUGGUGAACCAGCGGAGGGAUCAUUACAGAGUUAUACAACUCCCAUACCAUCUGUUAACCUACCCAGUUAUGCCUCGGCGUAAGCUCGGUUGGAGGCACCUGCAGCUACCCUGUAGUUGCGGACUGCCAACUCCAGCCGCGGCCCGCCGGCGGUACACUAAACUCUGUUUUAUUUUAUAUUCUGAGCGUCUUAUUUUAAUAAGUUAAAACUUUCAACAACGGAUCUCUUGGUUCUG
rnacentral:misc_RNA from 2 species